rnacentral:lncRNA from 1 species
ACAACUCUUUGGAGGAAUUUUGCUGCAAAGGAGAGUAGGAAAAUGGAGUGGUAGCGAGAGGGAAAGAUAGAUAUGAGCCCAAGAAAGUAUUUUCUGUCUUCUUUUUUUUUUUUUUCUUAAGAUGGGAGAAAUCACAGUGGUCGGUAUACUCAUGGAAAGACUCCAUUAGACAGGGACAAAUUGCUGAUGCAGAAGAAAUAAAGAGGACGUUUUGUGCUAUGGACUUGGAUAGGUGAAAGGAGGCAGGAUCUAUCGCACAGAUGGAGAGACUGGACUUAGGCGAGGUUCCAGCUCACAGUUCAGAGAAACAGAAGGUGGAGGUAGGGUGGCUGGACACAGGUACAGGCCGUGCCAUCCCCGGGGAGGACAAGAAAAAAGUAACAAAAAUAAUUUUUGGCUUCAAGCACCCAACAAUGGAAAUGCUGAAACCCAUGUCCUUUAAGUCCUUUUCUUCUCCUAGCAGAGGGCCCUCUGCCUACAUGGGGCACCGUGGUGGCCAUUUAAUGUACUCCUGCUUGGUACCCACCUCUGCUCUGCCCCCUGGUGGCCACAGACACCAUUGCUGCUGCCUCAGCACAGUUUGACCUUGUUGCUGCCAAGAGCCACCUCUCCUCUCAUCACUGUCCCCACUCUCCUGCCAUGCCUCAGGUGGCUGCUGGCAGAAGAGCAGUGGGCUUUGUUUCUUCAGAACAUCACAGCAACCACUGUCUUAUCAGCUCACACCCUCAGGAUCUUACUGCCCCUUUUCCCAAAAAUCUCCACUCCGGCAACCCUGGCCCUGCAUCAUUGAAGGACAUUUAAGUGAUAUAACAUAUUGUUGCCUCAAAAAAGUUUUUUCCCUCUUCAACAGCUGGGACAACUGGAUAACCACAUGCAAGAGAAUGAUGUUUGGCCACUAACCACACCAUACAUACAAAUUAACUCAAAAUGAAUCAAAGACUUAAAUGUAAGAGCUAAAACUUAGAACAAACAGGAGAAAAUCUUCACAACCAUGGAUUUGGCAAUGGAUUCUUAGAUAAGAUGCCAAAAGCACAAGCAACACAUGGAAAAAAAGAGAUACAUUAGACUUCAUCAAAAUUAAAAACUCUUUUGUGCAUCUAAGGACACUAUCAAGAAAAUAAAAAGAAAAACUACAGAAUGGGAGAAAACAUUUACAAACCAUAUACGAAAGGAUCUAAUAUCCAGAAUAUUUAAGAAGUCUAUGACUCCCCAACAAAAAGACAACCCAAUUUAAAAAUGGCCAAAGGACUCGAAUUGAUAUUUUUCCAAGAAGAUACGCAAAUGACCAACACACACUUGAAAAGAUGCCCAGAGCUGGACAUGGUGGUAUGUUCCUGUGGUCCCAGUUACUCAGGAGCUGAGGCAGGAGGAUCACUUGAGCCUAGGAGUUCAAGCCUGGAGUAAACUAUGAUCUCACCACUACAUUCCAGCCUGAGCAACACACGGAGACCUGGUCUCAAAAAAAAAAAAAAAAAAAAAAAGAUACUCAAUAUUAAUAGUCACUAGUGAAAUGCAAACUGAAACCACCUUGAAAUACUUAACACUCACUAGAAGGACUAGGACUAUAAUUAAAAACACAGACAAUAGCAAGUAUUAGCUAGAAUGGGUAGAAAUUGGAAUCUUCAUACACUGCUGAUGGGAAUGUAAAAUGGUGCAGCAACUGUGGAAGACAGUUUGAUGGUUCCUCAGAAUUUUAAACAGAAUUACUAUAUGACCCAGUAACUCUUGGAUGGAAUAAAAACUUUGUCUACACAAAAACCUGUACACAAAUAGCAGCACUAUUCAUAAUAGCUAAAAGGUGAAACAAUCUGAAUGCUCCAUCAGCUGAUGAAUGGAUAAACAAAAUGUGGUAUAUCUGUGGAAAAGAGCAUUACUCAGCCCUAAAAAGACAAAGGGAGUACUGAUACAUGCUGUAACAUGGAUAAGCCUUGAAAACAUUAUACCUAAUAAAAGAAGCCAGACCCGAAAGGCCAUGUAUUAUAUGAUU